GAUAAACGCUGGCGGCGUGCAUAACACAUGCAAGUCGAACGAUGAAACUUAGCUGAUUUCUUCGGAAUGAAAAUAAGUGGAUUAGUGGCGAACGGGUGAGUAACACGUGAGUAACCUGCCUUACACAAGGGGAUAGCCUUUGGAAACGAAGAAUAAUACCCUAUAAAGUUAGUCAAUCGCAUGGUAGACUAACCAAAGAUUUAUCGGUGUAAGAUGGACUUGCGUCUGAUUAGCUAGUUGGUGAGAUAAAAGCCCACCAAGGCGACGAUCAGUAGCCGGCCUGAGAGAGUGUACGGCCACAUUGGGACUGAGACACGGCCCAAACUCCUACGGGAGGCAGCAGUGGGGAAUUUUGCACAAUGGGGGAAACCCUGAUGCAGCGACGCCGCGUGAUUUAGAAGGCCUUCGGGUUGUAAAAAUCUUUUUUAUGGGAUGAAAAUGACAGUGCCAUAAGAAUAAGGUCCGGCUAAAUACGUGCCAGCAGCCGCGGUAAUACGUAUGGACCGAGCGUUGUCCGGAAUCAUUGGGCGUAAAGGGUACGUAGGCGGCCUAGUAAGUUAGAAGUGAAAUAAUAUAGCUCAACUAUAUAAAGCUUUUAAAACUGUUAGGCUUGAGAGAUGAAAGGGAAAGUGGAAUUCCUAGUGUAGCGGUGAAAUGCGCAGAUAUUAGGAAGAAUACCGGUGGCGAAGGCGACUUUCUGGUCAUCAUCUGACGCUGAGGUACGAAAGCGUGGGUAGCAAACAGGAUUAGAUACCCUGGUAGUCCACGCUGUAAACGAUGAGUGUUAGGUUCUUGGAAGAAUCUGGGAGCCGCAGCUAAC
rnacentral:rRNA from 1 species